rnacentral:rRNA from 1 species
UACGUAGGGUGCGAGCGUUAAUCGGAAUUACUGGGCGUAAAGCGUGCGCAGGCGGUUCGUUAUGUCCGAUGUGAAAGCCCCGAGCUUAACUUGGGAAUGGCAUUGGAAACUGGCGGGCUGGAGUGUGGCAGAGGGGGGUGGAAUUCCACGUGUAGCAGUGAAAUGCGUAGAGAUGUGGAGGAACACCGAUGGCGAAGGCAGCCCCCUGGGCCAACACUGACGCUCAGGCACGAAAGCGUGGGGAGCAAACAGG